AACAAGAGAGGAAAAAAGGAGUAACAUGCAAAUGGCGUAGACAGAGCAAAGACUUCGGGACUGCGUAUGUCGCCACUGUUGAGGUUGUUCAGCAACAACGAAACAACAGACUGUGGACUUUCCGUAUCCAUUUGUGCUGGGUGAACAUGAGGCAAGUUUGGUUACGUUAGCUAGCCGGAGCUAGGCUAACGCCACGGUCCUUGCUGAAGGAGAUACCGCCUGAACGGACAGCAGGAGUUUUGAGAGUCGUCUCGGGAGAGAGUCGUUGACGGAGGACGAUUUGCUACUACCGAGGGAAUCGGAGAUUCGUUGCUGGCUGCUGCGAGCGGAGACGGUUGCUACCGCAACGAGCGGGUGAUUCAUCGGAUGCGGGCAAGACUUCAUGGAUACACGGAGAACAUGCUGCAUGUAAGACUGGAGGAAUGGAGAUAAUUUGGCAGUUUCUACAGAAAACAGAUGAAGAAAGAAGGGGAAAAUUCCUGGAAAUCUGAAUGAAACAUCAGGGCAUGUCCAAGAACCCCUGGAUAAAAUCCAAAAAGAAAAUCAAGGAAAGAGAAACAGAAAGAAAUCCCUGGUAGCUUGAACACUUGAAUGAACUCAACGAUUUGAAAAUAAAACAGGAAAUGAUAUUAAACAUAAUACUUUUUCUCUGGUUUUGUAUUUUUACUUUUGAGAGAAAAUUCAGGCUCUCUUCAUCCUUCAUAAUCCAUGCAUGUCACACUCCUCAAAGAGUCCAGGGAAUUUCAAAAAAUGUUGAGACUGAAAAAGCUGACAAAAAAUAAUUUAUUUCAAGAAUUUGUUCUUGAUCUUUUUGCUACGAGAGAAAAUAAAACAAAGGUCUUGAUAUUUCCAACUGAAAGAGGAGGCUCGUCCAUGUUUAUGAUGAAACAGCUGAUUCUGAACUGAGCCUUCAGAUCAAACUGAUUGAUCAGCCAUCAGAGGAGUCGGAUCAAUGGAGCUGCUUCUGUUCCUGAUGUCCCCUGUUUGAUCCUGGACCUGAACUCUCCCUGCAGAGGAGACACAAGACAGUCAGACACACACACACACAGAAACUUAUAUUUCCACACUGAUCUUUGACCUUGAGUAGCACCGUAGUGUCUCUCAGGAUGUUUCUUUAUUUGCUGUAGACCUCACAUUAAUAUUUUCCACUGUCUCUCUCUGUGGAGUGUUUCAGGGUCAGACUGAGGUCUCCAGUUUUCAGCAGGUCUUCAUUCAUUUUCGUUUGAUCUCUGUAAACCUGGUGCUGUUGACGAGGUCACUCAGAGCCGUUCUCAUACACCUGGACUAUUGCUAACGGUUCAGGUACAAUUCGUCUCCACACGACUGCAGCAUCUUGAGGGAUAUUUCCUGUGUUUUUGAAGAGUGGCUGGACAGACUCCGCCCCCUCCUCCACCUCCGCCUGACAGACUGAGAGGACAACAAACACAUCAUGAGCCGUACAGACAGGAGCAGCAGCUUUUCAGCACUUACUGAAUGAUUCCAGAGUUGUACAUAAAAUUCUAACAAGUACAAUGAUGAGAGCCAAUGAUGUUCCAGAUGUUAGACUUUACAUUGUUGUAGAUGUUUACAGUGUGUACAGACAGGAGCGUGAAUCUGACAUAACAUGACAUCAUGACAUCAGAGCUUAAGUACAGACUGUGUGGACCUUCACCUGAAGAUAUCUAAAGCAUAUCAUCAGGAUGUGAAUGAGACUUGUUCCAGUUUUCAUCAGUUUGUAUUUUGAAUUUUCAGUCGAGUUAAUUUGUAGUUUCCAGUUAAAUUACCUAGAAGUUAAACGUAGAUACUCUGUUUGUGAAGAUCUGUGAAAUAUUCCAUUUUAUUUUAAACGAAGAAGCUUUGAUAUAUUUAAGUUAAAUUACUCUGUGACUUGUCAGUGCGUCUCUUCCUAUCAAAUCUCUGUUAUCUUCACUGACCUCUACUUACUAGAACUGUAAACCGUGUCAGGAUAUUUUGUUUUAGAUUUUUGUUUGUUGCUUUGACCUUGGAGACCCUGAAGUCCACAGCUUCCUUUAUGUUUUUUAAGUCAUAUGUGAAACAUUUAUGCCUGGCUGGGUUUUGUUCAGAAGCUUUAAGUUGUGGGUUGGUAGAUUUACUUUAUACAUUUUGUGUUAGACCCUGUGCCUCCUAGACCUCCAAAGGCCUACUUAAGUUUGUAACACCCUCAUAUAAACUCACACUCUAAAACCUUUCAGUGUUCUGGAAAUUGAUCCUUAUUUUCUUAAACUGGCUGCAGAUUUUAUAGCAGAAAUACUAACUUAUAUUUUUAAUCUUAGCCUUUAAACACUAAUAUCCCUGUAAUACAUAAAUAUGCCCAUGUUUUCCCUUUGCUGAAAGGAGCUGAUCCUUCAAAUGUGAAUAACUACAGGCCUAUAGCUAGUUGAAAGUGAGCAGUUGAAAGAAAUUUUGGACAAAAAUUGGAUUCGUUCACAGAAUCAGUCAAGAAUCACAUGAUACAUGAGACAUACAUUUCAAAAAUUUGUGUCUGAAGAGACGUUACUUUUUGUAACAUCUAAAUCUUAGAUGUUACAUUUAUUUUUAUGGACAUUUCUUAUUUUCUGUCAUUUGAAAAAACAAUAAUAAUGAUAACUAAAAUAAAUAAAACUAAUUUCAUUCAGUAAAGCAACAUUCUUUUUUUUUUUCAUUUUAAUUUUCAUUGUUUUUUAUGUUUUGGCUGCACUAACAGUCAGUUUCCAACUCUUGGAAGUCUAGAAUCCAUUCACCCUUUGCCAAAACACACACACACAUUCUCCAGGAGGAAAAAAACACAAGUAACCACUUUUACAGAAAACAAAUAGAUCCAGAAAUCAGGCAAGCCUGAUAUAAAUUUACAUUAGACACAAGGAUAUUGAAGCUAGGAUAAACUUUAAAACCUUAGCUCUCACAUUGAAGUGCAUCCAUAAUCUUGCCCCUCCUUAUCUGUGUGAUCUGCUUCAUAUCACCACUGUUUCCUGCUCUUAGUGCAGAUCUUAGUUGUUGUCAAAUCUUGUUUAUUUAUUUUUGUUGUUCUGUUGUUUUUUGUUUUUAAUCUACUGUUUUAUUGAUAUCAUCUUCUCUUUGUUCGAUGACCUUGGGUUUUAGAAAGGCACCUUCAAAUACAAUGUAUAAUUAUUACUAUUAAGGAAAUUUCCCAAGAAACUGAAGAAGAAACUCUAAAUCUUAAAUCAAUAAAAUAAAAUAAAAACAAGAAGAAAGUUCAGGAAACCUUGAAUGCUUGAAAACAUUGAUUGAAAAUUAAACAGAAAAUGUUAUGAACCCAUUGCUAGAAAAUAACUUACAAUCUGGCUUUUUUAUUUAUUGUGUUGGUGCUUGAGUGACUGUAUGUUAUUCUGCGUCAUGUGUUUUGUAAAGCACAUUGUAAUGCUUGGUUUGAUAAAGGUUAUACAAAUAUAAUAGUGCUGUUUGUUUUUAUUCCCAUAAAUAAAA